rnacentral:rRNA from 1 species
CCUACGGGAGGCAGCAGUGAGGAAUAUUGGUCAAUGGACGAGAGUCUGAACCAGCCAAGUAGCGUGAAGGAUGACUGCCCUAUGGGUUGUAAACUUCUUUUAUAUGGGAAUAAAAUGUUCCACGUGUGGGAUUUUGUAUGUACCAUAUGAAUAAGGAUCGGCUAACUCCGUGCCAGCAGCCGCGGUAAUACGGAGGAUCCGAGCGUUCUCCGGAUUUAUUGGGUUUAAAGGGAGCGUAGGUGGAUUGUUAAGUCAGUUGUGAAAGUUUGCGGCUCAACCGUAAAAUUGCAGUUGAAACGGGCAGUCUUGAGUACAGUAGAGGUGGGCGGAACUCGUGGUGUAGCGGUGAAAUGCUUAGAUAUCACGAAGAACUCCGAUUGCGAAGGCAGUUCACUGGACUGCAACUGACACUGAGGCUCGAAAGUAUGGGUAUCAAACAGGAUUAGAUACCCCUGUAGUC